rnacentral:lncRNA from 1 species
AAUCAUAUGUACUAAGAAACAGAUUUAUCAAUGACUGUUCUACUGCAGUGUUGCUUUUGUCCCACAUCUUUUAGGAUAGCAGCCAUUUUUUUCCACGAGAAAGAGGGAGUUUUUCCAAUGCCUCCUGGGGAGAGAAACAAAUAUUCUGCUUUAAAAAGGCAUGUGCAGUGUUGAAGUUUAAUCUGUUUAAAAGUCAGAAGCCGAGGACAGUGGCUGCUUCCAAGUGAAGGAGUUGCACUCAUGUCCACCUUGCAGGCUUCCCACAGGCAUCUGGUUGGCCAUAAUGAGAACAGAUGCUGAACUAGAUGGGCCAUUGACUUGAUCCUGCAGACUGUUCUUCUGUUCUUCAGUAGCCUUUUCCUCAAUAUGCAUGAGCAGUAGGAUGGAGCUUACAUUUUAAGAUAGGAGAUCUAAGCUUCUUUCCAGGCUAUUGUCAAUUGAAACUAUUAACCUUUCAACCUGUUGUUCUCCCUGUGCAUAUCACAAGGGAUCAAUGCUAAGAACAGAUUUAAGGGGGAAGCCCUGUCCCUGGACUCUUUACAUUUCUGUCUCUUCAUCUGACAUCCAACCCAUAUUUUCACCUUUCCUUUGAGAAUACUAAUCUAACAUUAGCAAUAAAGUCAAGUACAACUGUAUGAUGCCAAACAGUGAAAUCCAUCAUCCACCACAUUCUUCUUGUACACUAGGGUACUGGCUUUCAUUCCAAUCAAUCCUGGUGCUUUUUGAAAGACCUCAGAGGUGUUGAAAUAGCAAGGUCAAGUCAUACCAAAUGUUGCAUUAGGAUGGUAUUUCAACACUUUGUACCUCAUAAGCCUGUAAUUUUGACAUUUUCUUGCAGUCACUAGAGUCUUUCAAGAUGAACUAUAAUGAACUGCGCCUUGCUGAACACAUUCACAUAUAGAAAAUACUAUGUAUUUAAAAACAAAUAUGUGUUUAGACAAAGUUGCUAGUCUUUUUCUUUUAAAAAAACAGGCUCAGGUCCUCUCCAGAUGGCCUUUUUAUUGUGCAUUCAUAAUUAUUUGUGCUUAUGAUGCUAUAGGGGCACCCAUAUGUGAUUUCGCUUUCAAUAUUGCAAAAAUUUCAGGGUAAUCCUUUCCAAAAGUACGUAAUGUGUAACUUCCUGCUGAAAUUCUGUCACUUUCCAUACCACAAAUGUUCUGUGUUUUUUGUUGUGCUAUAGCCCUACUGGACAGCAAUGAUGUGGGAGCAUUGGGGAAUCACUUCAGAACAGCCAAUAAAGGUAGAUUUUGGGAUCUACCUGUUGGUGCAGCACUUAGAAUGGAUUUGUAAUACCACACAUAGAAUUUGCAUGCAGUUGGUUUUGGCAUAGGAUGUGACUGGCAAAUUUAAGAAGGUUCAGGCUAUUCAUUUCUGAGGAAUUCUGGGAGCUGAAUGCAUGCCAGCCCUUUAAUCUAGGUUUUAUAGCAGGGAAGUUGCAGAAUGCACCCUAAGAUGGGAAUGUAGUUGGCAUGUAGCUCUUAGAUCAGGGGUAGCCACUUGGUGCCCUCCAGAUGUUGUAACUCCUGGCAGUCCCAUUCAGCUUGGCCAAUGGCCAGGCAUGAUGGGAGUUUAAGUCUAACAUCUGGAGGACACUGUGGUAGCUAUCCGUGUCUUAGGUGGAUAGCCAGCCAUUUCUUUUUGGUCAAUGCUGAUCCCACUCCCCCUUGCUUCUUUUGUACCUGUUGCAAAGGUGGUAUAAACUGCAAUUUCAUUGCAAACACCAGAGUGGAAGUCUGUUGAAUCCUUUUUGACAUCCAUGGUGAAAGAUUCCAAUGACUGCUUUACUGUGGGCAUAUCAAAAUUCAGGGUGCAUCAACACUUCUGUUUGUCCUGUGCCCUGGACUUUCCAGGCACAGAUCUCAACUGUUUUCCACAUGUCUCAUUCCUUUCCCGGGGAAAACCUGCCUUUUAGUGCUAAAUUGGAGCAAAUGUAAAUCUGGAGAAAACCUGAAUGCUCCAACUAAAGAGCAGUUUUCCUGAGGAAAAGCAGUGCGACAAAGGAAGUGUGAAUGAGCCCUUAGCUUGGUGAAAAAAAUUGGGACAUGGAUAAAAGUAAUUGCUGAAGGGUAUUUUUUGCUCAAGGGCUGUGUUAACUAACACUCUCUUUGGAAUCUUCCUUCACUUGGAUGUUAGUUUCUGUUUUAGUCCCUUCUGUUAUGUUGUCUCCAAAUUGUGACUCACACACAAGGAUCAUACCAACAAUCACUUUAAGAGGAAGGCUAUGAAAGAGUCUUUCGGGAAACCAUUCAUGCACUUCUUCAGGAGGUUAGCAAAAGUAUCUAUAGAAUGAGCUGAGCUGUUGAUUUAGCUGAGGCCAGAUUUGACAUAGCCAUGCUACUUUCCAGGAUAAUUUUAGCAGCUCAUUUUGGUAAGCUUUCAGAAAUGUAAUAUUGUUCUGGCAGACCAGAAAUGUCUCCUGCACAAGUCCCCAAUGGAAACAAAGGGGAAUUGCACAAGAGCAAACUUUAUUCUUAGCACACUAUUAUACAGUUGUAUGUCCGUUAUUAGCCCUAUGGACAGAGGAUGUUUCACUUCUGUGUUCUGUAUAGCCGGGAUGGUGUGUCCUGUUUCACUGCUUGAGGUGAAAUGGAGAGUGCUACUUUGCCCUGCUGCCACUGCUGCUCCUGGCACAACCUAUCUGCUCCUGCUGCUGCCAUCUGCUCAGCUGCCACCCUGCGCCCUGCUCCAUCGUCUGCUGGUGGAGAAGCACCACCACCACCGGUGCCAAUUUUGGGCAAGAUCACACCAAUUUUGGUGUGAUCUUGCCACAGAAUCAACACCAAUGGCAGGUGGUGGACAUGGCAGGGCACCUUUGGGCAUGCUGCCAUGGGGGUUUCUGCCGCCUGAAGCAGCGGCCUCACCUGCCUCAUGGCUGGUAAAGCACAUAAUACAUUACCAGCUUUAUAGACAUGAUUAAUAUAUUAUAAUAGUAUGUGACACCUAGAGUAAUGAUACUCCUGAAUGUUCAGUUCUUAAAGGCACAUAAACUUUCCUCAUCAGAACAGUUACUAAUCCUUUGUGUGAAAAGGAUUUUCAAAUCUGACAAAGAAUUCACCACUGUCUGAAGAUUAAACAAGUCCGGAAAUUGAUAAAUGCUCAACAUUGCAAACUGGGCAAAUGUGAAUGGUUCUUAAUGGGCAAAGCAAUUAGAUUUUAUAGAAGAAGAGAGAACAAUUGAAAAGGUGAAGGUUUUGCGUUUCAGAGCAAUGGACCUUUGAGAACCGCACACAUUCUUUGCAUGUUAUCUGAAUUAUGUUCACCCUGUUGUGUUAAAGAAGAGGCACACAUCCCGCCAGUAUCUUGAGCUUGAUGUAGACAUGACCUUUGACCUGGAAGUCACUCUUUCUUAAUUUCUUCCUGCGAUGGACUAAGAACGCCACAUAUACAUCAGUGGAGGAAUGACUACAAGGAUUAAGAAUCCCUGCAGAGCCCUGGAGCUCAUGGGGUAACCUUGAGCCAGUCACAGUCCCCCAGUCUCACUUACUUCACAUGAAGAUUGUGAGAAUAAAAUGGGAUAACCCCCAUGUGUACCACGCUGUGUACCUUGGAGAUGCUACAGAAAUCUGAUAAAUAAACAAAACAUAUCAAAUUAACUCUUUGAGGGUGGCCAAUAAUUUUUUUGAACAAUUUCUUCUGGGAGCAUUAAAGCGUUUUGUGCCAUCUGCUUUGUGAGAAAGGGAAGGAGGGAGAAAACUCUUAGGAAUGGGUCUGGUGGCUCCUUGUCUCAGGCAAUGAUGCUGAGAAAGCACAAAUGAGCCGCAGUGGUGAACUCAUGCAAAUGCAAUGCCCCUCAAGGCCACAGGAAUUGUGGAAAGAUUUGUGUAAAUAUCUCAUGCAUUCUUGUGCUGUAAGGUUUAUGGAAAUGAAAACCACAGUUGAAAAGCCAAUGCCACAUCCAUUCCCCCUCCUCACUGCCUUUUUAAAAAAAUGACUAGAAUAAGUUCACAGAAGAUGUGAUGAGUAGUCAAGAAAAUAAGUUGUUCUUAUUUCAGUACCAGGGAGGUAAAAAAAGAAUGGAGUUUGCCAUACAUGAGGCAGGACAGGAUGUGAGAGUGUGGAAGGAGGAGGCCAUUUUGUAUGUGUCGAACGAACUUCUGCCGAAGGCAUGGAGAGAAGAAUCUGGGCCACACACACACAAAGUGGAAAAGUUGUUUGAAUGUGGAUCACAUGUAUAUGUCAUUGUACUCUUAUUCAGCUUAAAGUAGGGCUAGUCCAAGACAUCUUCCUGCUUUAGGCAGAGCAGCAAGUGGUGUCCAUUCCCUGAAUCUCUCACCUCUCAAGUGAAGAUUCAUAGUACUCAUGACUGGUCAAGUUACUUCGGUGCCUGCAGCAUAAAAUUCUACAAGGGCCUCUCCUAUCAGUAAGAUAUACAAUAGUAAUACAUUAAAUAACAAGUGGCUGCCCUUCCAUGAUAGAAUUAGUGGUUGAGGUGACCACUCCACACUGCUUAAUAAUAGGGUUUAGCUCAGCACGAACCUAUAAAUGUCUCCUAAGAAGUAAGUACCAUUGAAUCCAAUGGGGCUUAUUCCAUGGAAAGUGGGUAAAAGUUUGCAGUCAUAUUUCAGAUAGAGUAGCCACUAUUUUGUUCUUUGCGUUGGCUAAACAAGGCCAGUGGUGUGACUGGUUGAGGACACAUGGGACUAAGGGUAGAUAAAAUUGCAGGUAUUUAUCUGCAAUGGGAUGCUGCCCAGAUAAACAGGCCCAGAGUUCUGUAACAAAUGGCAGUUAUGGCAAACCCAGGACUUUGGGCAAGUCUGUCUUGCAGCAGUCAAUCAAUGGUACUGCACCUGAAGCAGGAAAUACAAGUUUUAGUGGUGUCUUGGAGCAACUGACAUUCCCUUCUAGUCUGAGCUAGGUAGUCAAGGUGGAAGUAGACAGUUUGGACUACAGCUACAACUGAUGCUAUAUAUCUAAGUUCAGUGGCUGUUUUUGAAUGACAUAAUUUAAAGGUGCUUCACAUGUAUUUCGAAAUCUACAGACAAAAAAUCUAGGAAGGUCAUCAGCAGUGAGUUGCAUUCUUUGUGGUAUGAAGCAACUGCAGCAGACACUCUUUCAUUGACCUCAGUUACGUCACCUGGUUGCACAACAACUCUGAUUAAACCAGAAUAAGGUUGAGAGCUCAAUAUAAGUAUGGUCCAUCAAGUGUCCACACUGCUUGUCUUAGUGGAGAAAUGAAACAAAAGUUGUUCAAAAAACUCAUUGGCAGUUUCUAUGGCAAAUAUGCUCCAGGGUCUGCUUAUCAUCUCUGAACAUUCCUCACCUGUUUGUUCUUCUGUGUCUGAAUUUGGUAUGAGGGUGGUCCACUUAUGCAUCAAGAAGAAAAAGAUACCACCAUGAAAGAUCUGCAUAGAAUUUGCAUAUGCUAAUUUAUAUGUACAGAUGCCAUUAUAUAAAUUAAUAAUGGUUCCCCAUCUGGGAUUUUUAGCGCUUCUCAGUCUGGAUGAAAUGCCUUGCUAUUUUCCCUCCCUACUAUGUGCUUUUCAAAAAGUGAACUUGCAAGGAUUUUUUUUCUUAAAUAAACCCCUUCUUUAUUUGAGUUUGCUAUCAACUCUCAAAUGCACGCUUGCCUUUCCCCCUUCUCCCCUGUGCUCAUCAGUUUCUCUGAAGGAAGCAGAUCUCUCCUGACCCUCCUGGAAUGCUCUGUGCUUAUUUUAUCUCUGAAAACAAAGCGAAUUUUGUAGUGUUUUGUUCUAUUUCCUACGUGAUAGAAUCCUUUGUUUUCAUCUGCAACCUCUGCAGCUUCCAAUAUUUUACUUUAUUUUUCACUCCUAGCAGCUUGUCGAGACACCAGGUUCAAUAGUCUGCCACUAGGCCCUGCCUCAAGGUCGAGGAUUCCCUCCUUUUCCUUCCCAGUAUUGUCCUGCAUCCUGGAGGGCCCUUCUUCAUACAGUGCAAUGGCUGCUGUGACAAUAAGGACUGGCACCAGGCACACUUGCUGCCACGGUAUCGGUGGCUGAGCGCAUGCCAAACUCCGGUGACAAUAGCAUGACUUCAGAUCCUUUAUUAGGAAAGGAAAGGCCUAAAUGGGAGGGUCCACUUACGAGCACACAGUGCCACCUUGGUUCUGCCUAGUGCAUUGUUCUUGUCAGCCUACAGUGGAAACUCCCUCCUUCUAAGCUUGUAGAGUUUAGAGACAUAGAUAUAUAAACUUGCAAAGAUUACACACACACACACACACACACACACACACACACCUUUCUGUUGGGCCCCUUAACUCAUUCUUGCAUUCAUGGGUAGUCUAAUACACCUGCACAUUUAUUGAGAAACACUUUGGGUCUAAGAAGAGGAUUUGUUGACAAGUGUACAGAAGGUCUAGAGCUUAAAUUUGUCACUGCAGCAAAAUUGCCAUUUGGUGUCAGGUCACUUCUGGAAGGGAUGGAGAAAAGGUAGACCAGGAUCUUCUGGCAGUAAUGGAAGUAGAUCACCAAAAUGUUCUGACUCUCGGUUGUUUAACAACAAUAAAAAAUACCCCCUAAAUGAUACUGUUGCACCAAAGAAAGCUGUGUAUGAUUAUUGCAUGUGUUUAACCUGAGGUGGCUUUUUGUGUCGAAGGACUGUAAGCUCAGUACAGUUUUGGGAGUUUCUGGGCUCAGAAUUUUAAAAUUCCAAGUAUGCUUUCUUUAGAAAUACUGUAGCAUUUAUUGAAAUUUUCCAAUAC